rnacentral:misc_RNA from 1 species
AAGGAGUCUACCAUCUAUGCGAGUGUUCGGGUGUCAAACCCCUACGCGUAAUGAAAGUGAACGUAGGUGGGAACGAGCACGGGUGCACCAUCGACCGAUCCUGAUGUCUUCGGAUGGAUUUGAGUAAGAGCAUAGGUGUUGGGACCCGAAAGAUGGUGAACUAUGCCUGAAUAGGGUGAAGCCAGAGGAAACUCUGGUGGAGGCUCGCAGCGGUUCUGACGUGCAAAUCGAUCGUCAAAUUUGGGUAUAGGGGCGAAAGACUAAUCGAACCAUCUAGUAGCUGGUUCCUGC